CAUUACCGAGUGAGGGCCCUCUGGGUCCAACCUCCCACCCGUGUUUAUUUUACCUUGUUGCUUCGGCGGGCCCGCCUUAACUGGCCGCCGGGGGGCUUACGCCCCCGGGCCCGCGCCCGCCGAAGACACCCUCGAACUCUGUCUGAAGAUUGUAGUCUGAGUGAAAAUAUAAAUUAUUUAAAACUUUCAACAACGGAUCUCUUGGUUCCGGCAUCGAUGAAGAACGCAGCGAAAUGCGAUACGUAAUGUGAAUUGCAAAUUCAGUGAAUCAUCGAGUCUUUGAACGCACAUUGCGCCCCCUGGUAUUCCGGGGGGCAUGCCUGUCCGAGCGUCAUUUCUGCCCUCAAGCACGGCUUGUGUGUUGGGCCCCGUCCUCCGAUCCCGGGGGACGGGCCCGAAAGGCAGCGGCGGCACCGCGUCCGGUCCUCGAGCGUAUGGGGCUUUGUCACCCGCUCUGUAGGCCCGGCCGGCGCUUGCCGAUCAACCCAAAUUUUUAUCCAGGUUGACCUCGGAUCAGGUAGGGAUACCCGCUGAACUUAAGCAUAUCAAUAAGGCGGAGGAA
rnacentral:rRNA from 1 species